GGGUGGGCACCGAGGGGGCGUGCACGUGAGAAGGCAGGCCUGGAGUGCGGGCAUGGCCGAGGCCAGAAAGCGGCGGGAGCUGCUCCCCUUGAUCUACCAUCACUUGCUCCAGGCGGGCUACGUUCGCGCGGCGCGGGAAGUGAAGGAGCAGAGCGGCCAGAAGAGUUUCCUGACCCAGCCUGUUACCCUUGUGGACAUCUAUACACACUGGCAACAGACCUCAGAGCUUGGCCAGAAACAGAAGGCAGAAGACGAUGCAGCACUGGAAGCCAAGAAGUCCCGAGUGUCAGACCCCAUUAGCAGCUCAGAGAGCUCUGAAGAGGAGGAAGAAGCAGAAGGCAGAAGUGCCAAAGCCACUCCAAGACCAACAUCUACUACACCUGUGACUGUGGAUUUGCCAUCAAGCCAGAAAGAAAAAGCCCUGGCAAAGGGCAAGAAAACAAGCAAGAUCUCAAACUCCAUACUGCAUCCUGUUGCGGGGAAGGCAGUGGUCCACCUGCUCUCUGGGAAGUCCCCUAAGAAGUCAACAGAACUUGCAGCAGACACUGUUUUGGUCUCAGAAACUGAGGAGGAGGGUAGCAUCCAGGCUUGCAGUGCUACUGCCAAACCAGGGAUGGUGUCAGCGGGCCAGGCCAGCAGCUCCAGCGAGGACACCUCCAGCUCAAGUGAUGAGACAGAUGUAGAGGUCAAAGCCUCACCAGCUCUUACCAAGGAACCUUCAUCUAGAAAGACAGCCCCAGGCCCUGGCAAGGUAUGGAAUGGGACACCCCAGGUCCAAGGAAGCAUGUUGACUGCAGCCAGGAGGACCAUGGAGCCAGAAGAGUCACCAGAGAGUAGUGAGGAAGACUUUAAAAAUGAGGCCAAAACCCCUGCUGGGACAUCCAGCCAGGUAAAGACUUCUGAGAAAAUACUGCAGGUCAGAGCUGCCUCAGUCUCUGCCAAAGGAACUCCUGGGAAAAGGACCAUCCCAGCACCCCUUGGGAAGACAGGGCCCAUAGCCACCCAGGGCAAGGCAGAGAGGCCAAAACAGGACAUGGAGAGCAGCAGCAGUGAGGAGUCUGACAGCGAGGAGGAGGCGCCAACUGCUGUGUCUGCUCUUCAGGUGAGGCCCUCGGGGAAGACCCCUCCUGACAGAGUUGUUUCAGCCCCUGGUAAGGAGUCAUCAAGGAAAGGGGCUCCUCCAGUGAACCCUAAAAAGGCAGGGACUUCAGCUGCCCAAGCCCAGGCAAGGAAGCAGGAGAACUUGGACAGCAGCAGUAGCAGUGAUGAGUUGAAUAACAAUGAUGAGGAGACACCAGCAGCUGUGAACCUAACCAUAAGCCCUGCUCCGAUGAAACCCUUGGGGCAAAGUCCCCAGGUCAGACCUGUCACCACUGUGGGUGUGGGGCUAUCAAGGAAGGCCACUGGCCCAGUCCCUCCCAGGAAGGCAGGGUCAGCAGCUCUAAGUGUCCAGGUGGGGAAGUUGGAAGAGGACUCAGAGAGCAGCAGUGAGGAGUCGGGUGGUGAAGAUGCAGUGAUAGCAGCCCAGACAAAACCAGCUCUGGAAAUAAAUACCAACCCCAAGAAAGGCACCCCUACUACCCUCACUUCUGCCAAGGUCAUCCCUAUGCUAGUGGGUACUCCAGCUCCCUGGAAAGCACGGACCGGGACUUCUCCAGCCAACCUGCCAUCCACUGCUCUGGCCAGGGGCACACAGAGGCCAGAGAUGAGCUCUUCCAGCAGCGAGGAGUUGGAGGAGAAGGAAACCAAGGCAAUAGGGUUACAGAGCAAGUCUGUGGGGAAAGGCCUGGCACCCACUAGGAAGAUAGGACCUACAGCUGCUCAGGUCAGAGCUGAGGCUCAGGAGGACUCUGAGAGCAGUGAGGAGGAAUCCAGCAGUGAGGAGGCAGCUACCGCCCCAGCACAGGCCAAGCCCCUGGGGAAAACCCCUCAGACCAAAGCCAACCCAUCUCCCACAAAAGCAUCUUUGGCCAAAGGGGCAGCAUUGACACCUGGAAAAACAGCCACAGCCGUUGCUCUGACCAAGAGUAAGACACCUGUGAGGGCUCCCCAGAACAGUGCUGUAAUUUCUGCAAGGGGCCAGUUGUCUAUGCCAGCCAUGGGGAAGAUGGGAACAGCCCAGGCACAGAAGAGGGCCCCAGCAGAUGCAGAAAAGGACUCUGAGAGUAGCAGUGAGGAGUCUGACAGUGAAGAAGAGAUGUCACCUCAGAUGAGGCCCUUGGGGAAGACUCCUCAGGUCAUAGCUGUCUCAGCACCUGCUGAGUCGCCUAGGAAAAGGGCCCCUCCAGCGAACCCUAAAAAGGCAGGGCCUACAUCUGCCCAAGCCAAGGCCAAGGCCCACGUGGGGAAGCAAGAGGACUUGGACAGCAGCAGCAGCAGCAGCAGUUGUAGCAGCAGUGAUGAAUCAGAUAGCAGUGAAGAGGAGACACCAGUAGCUGUGACCCUAACCACAAGUCCUGUUCCGGUGAAGCCCUUGGGGCAAAGUCCCCAGGUCAGACCUGUCUCUGCUGUGGGUGUGGGGCCAUCAAGGAAGGCCACUGGCCCAGUUCCUCCCAGGAAGGCAGGGUCAGCAGCUCCUGUUGCCCAGGUGGGGAAGUUGGAAGAGGACUCAGAGAGCAGCAGUGAGAAGGAGUUAGACGGUGAGGAUGUGCUGACACCAGCCCAGGAUGGCACCCUCCAAACAUCCAGAAGCAAGGCACUGGCUCCAGCUUCCCCAGAAAAGAAUGCACAAGGAUCCUCAGAGAACAGCGAUGAUGAGCUGCCAUCCUGCCAGGGUGGCAGUGCUGUGGGAACACACCCUGUGACCGAUCAUCCCACUGGCACCCCUAUCCAGGUCCAGGCCAGAGCAAACAACAAGCUCAGAAAAUCUAAGAUUCCUCUAGAGCUGCUGCCUCAUUCAGGCCAUCCAAAAGCCACUGGGAGCUCAGAUGACACUGAGGACAGCAAUGACACCUCUUCAGGAAGUGAAGAAGAUGCCAAGGGGCCCCAGACUGCUACGUCAGCUGCUAGGCUGGGAGGUCCAGCCCCUUCCCAGAGGGACACUGUGGUGGAGGAAACCCCAGCAGAGUCCAGCGAGGAUGAAGUGGUGGCCCCCUCACAGUCUCUCCUCUCAGGUUAUGUGACCCCUGGGUUGACCUUGGCAAAUUCUGAAGCAUCAAAAGGAAUUCCCAAGCCAAACUCCAACCUCUUGGUUUCCUGUGCUCCAGUCACCAAAGAUGACCCAGAUAACAAGCAGGAAGUAAAGUCACAGCACACAACAGGCCCCAUGUUCCUUAAAACUGGAAGAAAAAAGGCUGCCUCAGGCCAGACACCUCAGAAGCCCAAGAGGGGGGCCACAAGCUCAACGGUGUCAACACAGGCACUGCAGAACAGCAUCGCCCAGCACCUGCUAGGGCAGCCCUGGAGUGAGCAAAUGCAAGCCUCAGUGGUGAAGGUCCUGACGGAGCUACUGGAGCAGGAGAGGAAGAAAGCCACAAAUACUGUCAAAGAUAGUAGCAAGAAGGACCAGGCCAGUCGGAAACGAAAGCUAUUAGAGGACUAUUCAGCAGCUGGGUCCCCCAAGAGCAAGAAAAAGAAGCACCUGGUAGCUGGGGAAGGCAGGGAGUGUGGUGCUUCCUCAGAAAAGGCCUCUAGAACUUCCAAGGGGAAAUCAAAGAGAGAGAAAGCCAGUGGUGAUGUCAAAGAGAAGAAGGGUAAAGUGUCUACGAGCCCCCAGAGGGCCAAAGACAAAUCUGAAGGGGAGCUGGGCAUGGUGAAGGUUGAGGGUAGAGAUCAGAGUGACCCAAAGAACAAGAAAGAGAAGAAGAAAUCCAGUAAGAAAAAAAAAGACAAGGAAAAGAAGAAAGGAAAAAAGACCUCAGCCAAAGACCCUGACUCACCAUUCCAGAAGAAAAAGAAGAAAAAGGUAGCAGGAAAUCCUGAGGGGUCUCAAACCAGGAAAGGGACCCAAGUCUUUCCUCUUCCCUAAACUUUCCAUUCUUGAGCUCCAAAAGAGGGCCUUGUGAGGAAGAACUGCCCCAUCUUGUCUGCUGGGUGGAGGAAGUGGGAGCAGUGGGACAAGAGACUGACCGUGCAGUUAGUACCUGGCUCCCAGAUAAGAGGAAGGGGUAGAGGAAAUUAAGCACCUGGUAACCUGGCCACUCCAGAGCAAUGGAGUGCCUGGCCUGAGUGUCCCCACUAAAGAAACGACGUCUACCUUAUGGAUGCCAAAGUCUAGUCCCCUGAACAGGAGCUGUCCUUGGCCCAGGGUCUGGUGGCCUAGGAAUGCCUAGCACCUGGUGCUACAGAAGCCUGGCUCACCGGAGAAGAAGAUGGUGGAGCCGACUGAGUGAGAGCCAGGGACACAGCACAGAGACUUCUUAUCAGAGUGGUGACCAUCCCCAAGCCUUAGGCCUCUGACCUCUACUCAACAUGGGUUGGAACUGGACUUUUAAUCUUCCCUCUCUACAGAAGAUGGCCAGCCCCAGGGGCUGCAACUGGCAAGACAGUGAACCAAAAGGAAGGCCAGUCCAAGGAGGAAGUAGCUCCACUCCUGAAGCCCUUCUCUCCCCCUGGGAUACUUCUAGAGAUGUGUACAGUGUAUAUAUAUAUUUUUAAGUGACCUGCCUCUCCUCCUCCAAAUCCAACAUGCCCAUAGUCCUCAGGACCUCUUGCUACGUUGCUGUACAGAUGCAACAAGUCAUGACUCACUUUGCCUCAUCAGGUCUCUGAUCACCCCUGAGGCUUUGUCCUCUCUCUCUCUACCAUGUUUUCUUCAGCUAUGGUUUUACGUUUUUUUGUUUUUGUUUUUGUUUUUUGGAACGCAAAAUAAAAGACAAAGAAAGUAUGAGUUGCCAGCACUUGUGGGACAGAUACUGUUACUGACAACUUAAAAAGGACUAUACCCUAGAGGUCAUCAGGCCGGCAUGCAGGGUUCCGUUUCAACCUCAUAUCAAAAACCCCAGGAGAGUAUCAGUAGGACAGUUUGUUAGCCUCAGUAAAGUACCCUGGCACUGAA